UACGGAGGAUGCAAGCGUUUAUCCGGAAUGAUUGGGCGUAAAGCGUCCGCAGGUGGCAAUGUAAGUCUGCUGUCAAAGCGUCUGGCUCAACCAGAUAAAGGCAGUGGAAACUACAUAGCUAGAGUAAGGUAGGGGUAGAGGGAAUUCCUGGUGUAGCGGUGAAAUGCGUAGAGAUCAGGAAGAAUACCGGUGGCGAAAGCGUUCUGCUAGACCUGUACUGACACUGAGGGACGAAAGCUAGGGGAGCGAAUGGG
rnacentral:rRNA from 1 species